rnacentral:rRNA from 1 species
AUGUUGCAAAAAACGAAGGACGACUGGGUCAGGUCUAUCCCCUAUCAGUUUUCGUAGGAAGUGUAUUGUACUUUCUAGACUAUGACGGGUAACGAAAAAUAAGGGUUUGAUUUCGGAGAAGGAGCCUGAGAGACGGCUACUACAUCUAAGGAAGGCAGCAGGCGCGCAAAUUUCCCAUUGCUUAUCAUAUAAUGUAAGCGAGGAAGUGACGAUCAAUAACAAUGUGUGACUCUUUAUGGGUUAUGCAAUUGGAAUGACUACAAUUUAAAGAGUUUAAGAAGGAUCAAUUGGAGGGCAAGUCUGGUGCCAGCAGCCGCGGUAAUUCCAGCUCCAAUAGGAUAUAUCAAAGUUGUUGCAGUUAAAAAGCUCGUAGUUGAAUUUCUGGAAGGUAGAAGUGUUUUCUUUAGAGAAGCAAUUUUUUAUGAAAGGCACCGCUUUCCAUUUUGUGGAUUUCUGUUUUGUAUGAAGAUAGUUUACUCUAUUUUUAUAUAAAAUACCACUCCGUCACUGAGAGCAAAUUGGAGUGCUCAAAGCAGGCUUUAUUAGCUUUGAACAUUUUAGCUUGGAAUGACAAGAUAUGACUUUUGUUUUAUUUUGUUGGUUAUGAAAUAAAAGUAAUGAUUAACAGGAACAGUUGCGGGGGUACUCGUAUUGAAAGGUCAGAGGUGAAAUUCUUGGAUUCUUUCAAGACGAACGACUGCGAAAGCAUUUACCAAGGAUGUUUUCAUUAAUCAAGAACGAAAGCUCGGGGAUCGAAGAUGAUUAGAUACCAUCGUAGUCCGACGCCAUAAACGAUGCCGACUCGGGGUUAUUUUGUUCGUUUAAAUUAAAAAGAACACAAAGUAGCACCGUAUGAGAAAUCAAAGUCUUUGGGUUCCGGGGGGAGUAUGGUCGCAAGGCUGAAACUUAAAGGAAUUGACGGAAGGGCACACCAGAGGUGGAGCCUGCGGUUUAAUUUGACUCAACACGGGGAAACUUACCAGGUCCAGACAUGAUGAGGAUUGACAGUUUGAAAGCACUUUCUUGAUUUCAUGGGUGGUGGUGCAUGGCCGUUCUUAGUUGGUGGAGUGAUUUGUCUGGUUGAUUCCGAUAACGAACGAGACGGGGUGAAUUUACUAGUUUGUUAUAUAAUUUACGUUAUAUAAGACUUCUUUAUUCGACAACUUGGUUUUACCAAGAGGAAGCGCCCCGCAAUAACAGGUCUGUGAUGCCCUUAGAUGUUCUGGGCUACACGCGCGCUACAAUGACGAAUUCAACGAGUUUCAAUUUAUUCCUUAUCCGGAAGGAUGUGGGUAAUCUUUUCAAUAUUCGUCGUGAUGGGGCCAGAUUUUUGCAAUUAUUAAUCUUCAACGAGGAAUCUCUAGUAUGUGCAAGUCAUCAGCUUGCGCAGAAUGCGUCCCUGCCCUUUGUACACACCGCCCGUCGCACCUACCGAUUGGACGAUCCGGCAAGAUGUUUGGAGUUGUUUUGAUUGUAGAGUAAUUUAUGAUGAAAAUGACAAAGCUCUUCAAACCUUAUCGUCUAGAGGAAGGUGAAGUCGUAACAAGGUC